UACGUAGGGGGCUAGCGUUGUCCGGAAUCAUUGGGCGUAAAGCGCGCGUAGGCGGUUCGGUAAGUCCGCUGUGAAAGUCGGGGGCUCAACCCUCGAAUGCCGGUGGAUACUGUCGGGCUAGAGUGCGGAAGAGGCGAGUGGAAUUCCUGGUGUAGCGGUGAAAUGCGCAGAUAUCAGGAGGAACACCGAUGGCGAAGGCAGGUCUCUGGGCAUUAACUGACGCUGAGGAGCGAAAGCAUGGGGAGCGAACAGG
rnacentral:rRNA from 1 species